GUGAUGCUUCGGGGGUGCCCUCAAGGCUGAGAAACAAACCCUUUGAACCUGAUCUGGGUAAUGCCAGCGUAGGAAGAACAGAAGCGGCUGAU
rnacentral:ncRNA from 1 species